rnacentral:rRNA from 1 species
UGAACGCUGGCGGCGUGCUAACACAUGCAAGCGAACGGAGUAUCUCUCCCGAGACCAAAGAAGACUUGCUUCUGAGGAAUCAACUGAGAUACUUAGUGGCGGACGGGUGAGUAACGCGUGGGUAACCUGCCUCACACAGGGGGAUAACAGUUGGAAACGACUGUUAAUACCGCAUAAGCGCACAGUACCGCAUGGUACAGUGUGAAAAACUCCGGUGGUGUGAGAUGGACCCCGCGUCUGAUUAGCUAGUUGGCGAGGUAACGGCCCACCAAGGCGACGAUCAGUAGCCGGCCUGAGAGGGUGAACGGCCACAUUGGGACUGAGACACGGCCCAAACUCCUACGGGAGGCAGCAGUGGGGAAUAUUGCACAAUGGGGGAAACCCUGAUGCAGCGACGCCCCGCGUGAGCGAUGAAGUAUUUCGGUAUGUAAAGCUCUAUCAGCAGGGAAGAUAAUGACGGUACCUGACUAAGAAGCACCGGCUAAAUACGUGCCAGCAGCUGC